AUCAGAAACAAUGUGUGGAAGACUGAAUAAUUAGGCAUUAGCUCAGAUCACUCUCUCUCCCAUUACUGAGGUGCAUCAUGACUGAUCUAAGAAACAGAAGAGCACAGAUUUAAAGGAGGCAGUAAAGACCAAGACCGUUGUAGAUGAGGAGAUAAUUGCAUACUUACAGGAUUAACACUGUCUGGAUUGCAACAACCCGCUGAAUACGUUCAAGAGAAAGCUACAGUACAUAUUUCAGAUCGGGGACUGGCAACAAAUAUCUGUAGACUACCUUCUGAAAAAUAAGCAUUUUCACGUGUAUCAUGGACUAUCUCUAAUGCCGGCAUCACAGCCAGGUCAAGCUGCAUGUUUCUAAUUUUGGCCCUACCCAUAACCUCCUCGGAGAGUUCUCGCCUGGCUCUCCCGUCUAAACAGCAUUCUCCUUACCCGCCAAUUAUUACCGAGCCAAGUGCGUUUCCCAUGAGCAUGUGUUACCAUUUGUAUUUACAUUUUUUCUUUCCUUCUUAUGGUUUGUCUUCUCCGUCAGGCUAGAAGCUCCCCCACGGCAAGGCACCAUGUCUAGGACACCAAAGGCCCUUUAUAAAUAAUUCUUGGGGUGCCUGGGUGGCUCAGGCGGUUAAGCGUCUGACUCUUGAUUUUGGCUCAGGUCAUGAUCUCACAGAUGUGAGAUCAAGCCCCGCAUCGGGCACUGCACUGAGUUGGGAGCCUGCUUAAGAUUUUCUCUCCCUCUCUCUGUACCUCCCCCACUUUCUCCCUCUCCCUCUCUCUCUCUCUCUCUCUCAAAACAACUAAUUUUUAAGUGAGUAAAUGGUGAACAGCAAGGGUGGCACAAAUAGCCAACAGAAGGUAGAGGAGGAUGAAUUCCCUGCACCACCACAUUUAUGGGGGGGUGGACCCUACAUGGCCUCUCUUGUAGUCAAAACACACUUUUCAGUCCUGGAUCCCUCGCAGUGUAUUCAAGGAUGCUGGCUUUGUGUGAGGCUGUAAAUAUCUCUGAUGAGAAGGGCUCACGUCUGCGUGUGUUUGCCUUGUUUUGCACAGCAUUCGGCACCGUCCCAAGCACAGAUGGGCUCUGCAUAAAUAUUAGUGAAGGAUGAUGACAUUGAAGCUUAUUUAAUACUUCUGCAUAGGGUGGAGACGGGUCUCGGGCCACAAAUAUACUUUGAAUGUGCUCUACUUCUCGAAUCAUUGGAACCAAAACGAUUUCAGCAACAGAGAGUCAUCUGCGGCUACAAAUCAGACACAUUCAGAAUGACAACGCCCCAAAAGAAUGCCAUUUUCAAGGCUGAGACUGUAUUAUUCCGGGGUCAAUGGAAUCCUUGUUUUAGUGACACUGGAAGAGUAGAAAUUAAAGACAUUGAAACUCUUCCCUCAGGGAACAACAAUUAUCUGUGAACAAUGAAAUCUGGCCUGAAUAAUUCAUCAGUUUCGAGGGUCCAGGCCUUCCCCUUAUUCUGGAAUGCCAAGAGUUUAGGCAAGUACAUCAUUUAAUAGGUCUCAGCUACUCAGUUGUCAUUCUUCCUGGUCCUGGCACUUAUGGGCACAUUCCAAUGAUUUUAUUCAUUUAAAAAAAAAAAACACAACUAUAUGGCAAACCUUGCCCAAGACAAAAAUUUGAAACUGUAUUUAUUUCACCUAAGAAGAAAGGAGCUCAUUAAGUAUCCAUCAUGGGAAUCCACCUGGGAACUGCACAGCAGAUCAAAUACCCAAAACAAAUCACCACGUCAGAGCCCCACAGAAUUCUGGAUCCCAACCAGCAAGCAUGAAUAAUCCUUUUAAAUGGUCACUUACAUAUCAGAACAGGCCCUUUGUGAAAUGUCUAAGCAAGGCCUCUGCUUUCUGACUGAAACAGAGUUUUAUGGGGAUGGAGGGGAGCAAGUGAAAUCAAGAACCACCGGGAUAUAUCCGGGAGAAAAGAGGGCCCAUGGUUUUUGUUGCUAGAAUAAAACCUGCCUCCCCUGGCCAGGGUUUGGGAAGUUGCUGGCUAUCCCCCAGGAGAGUUGGGCAAUAUUCUGAACUAGUUUCUCAGGGACCAUCUUGAUCCAGGAGUAGUUACUGGGCAGAUGCAAUCGCAAACCAGAAGACCUAGUUUCAAAUCCUGGGUCGCUUUCUGAUUAGCUGUAUAACCGGGUACAAGUCACUUCACCUCUCUGAUACUUGGUUCACCAUCUUUAAGAUGGCGAGACUAAUGCCUACCCAAUUACCCACUAAAUUUGUGCAAAGAUCAAGUGAAAUCAAAUGUACGGAAGUUCUUUCUAAAUUAUAAGAUUAUGUAUAAGUGGAAGGUGAUAUUAUCAAAUACACUCCCAUAGUAUUAAGUAAUCUACAUAGCAAUCAGGAUCCUCUAAUUACACGCUGAGCCCUCAGUGUUUAAAGAUGGUUCCAUUUUGCCUUGUUCUCUACAGUUUUAUUGAAUCCUUUUUU
rnacentral:lncRNA from 1 species